GGGCGCUUACGUUCUUCCUGCAAUAUGAGAAGGGAGGGAGGGACUCUCAGCAGGGAUGCAGUCUGGGACACGUAGUUGCAAACCUAGCGACUUUGUUGUUAGAUUCAAUGACUUUUCAGACCCCCUAACGACUUUUUUUUAGAAAGAAAGUGACUUUUAUCGACUUCUUCUGGAGUUUAGAGACUCUGACAUGAAGCAGGCUUUCCUUACUGAGGAGUUAGCAACGCUGCUAAGGGUGCAGAGCCACACAUGCGCUCCGAGCUCUGCAUGGGAGACUGAAGCUGACAGAGCUGCAGCAGUUAGCAGGUUUCACCCUCAGAGACCACCAGGGGUUCAUGUUGAGGCAUUUUCAGUUUUUUUUUUUUUUUUUGCCAUAGACACUGUCAGCACAAUCUGCAGUUACACUAACAAAAAUGCUGCAAAAAACAAAGUCCAUGUGUAAUUUUUCCAUAAUUCUAACAGAGGAGGAUCUACACAAGUUUUUUACAUCAUGUUUUACAUCAUGCAUCAUUUACAUCAUGUUUUUUUGUAGUGGCAUAAAUAAAAAGUGACAUUUGUGAGACUAUACAGUGUUUUGUAAAUAAUUUUACAAAGAACACCUGGGCCAUUGCCUGCAUUUUGAUGUAAAUAGAGGUAAAUUACUAUGUUCUUUGUUAAAAAUUUGCAUAUGUUUUGAAGUUUACAAUUUUUAUUUGAAGUUUAAGUUUUAAAAACAGUUCAUCACACAUAUUUGUGGUUUUCACAGUAAAAACGUUACUUUUUUCCACUCGGAUUUUAUGUUUUGUGUGUGAAUUUGGGUCCAAUGUGUAAAUAUAGUAUGUCAAAAUGAUAAAAUAACUGUAAAUUGACACAGGUGAGGUUGUGCUGAAAAAAAUGAUACCAGGCAAGGCAAGGUAAAAAUUUUGUAAGAGGAAAUAUAAAGGUAAAAUCUAAAGUAGUCAAAAACGGCCAAUAGUGACUCACAGACUCCACAGACAAGUCCCUUUGGCGCCACUCAGUGGGCAAAACUACUUUGUCUACUGUAAUGUAUAUUUGGGUCAUCUUUGGCGCCCCCUAAAACGUAAACCGUGGGGUGCAGCGUCAUGAUUUUUACAACUUUGAAUGGCCAUGGAGUGUAGAUUGGCCUGAGCAAAUUUGGUGUCAUUGGGACGAAAGCCUUAGGAGGAGUUAGCGAAAUUCCAAUGUGUGCGAAUCGGCAAAAAAUGCAAAAUAGCCCUUUUACCGUACAUUAUACAGAUACGCGCUCUUUGACUUUUUCAUAGAUCUAAUUGAGAUACACAUGAUUGUCAAUUUUUGUGUCAUUUUGCCAAAGCGUACAGGCGUGACAGUCAACAAUGUGUAUUUUCACCUUAGGGGACAAGAAAAAAUGGACUUUUUUCUCCUGCCAUGGGGGGGCGCUCUUUUAGGGAGUAAAAAUUCCUUCACAAAUGUGUUGAUGGCUGGACAUUGCAUCAUCCUAGAAAACUUGGAGGCCAGUGAGGACAAAAAUAAAAAGUUAUAAGACUUUUAAAAAUGUGGAUUUUUGGGUUAUCUUUGGCGCCCCCUAGAACGUAAACCGUGGGGUGCAGCGUCAUGAUUUGAAUAACUUUUAAUGGCCAUGGGGUGUAAUUUGGCCUGAGCAAAUGUGGUGCCGGUGGAACGAAAGCCUUCGGAGGAGUUAGCGAAAUUCCAAUGUGUGCGGAUCGGCAAAAAAUGCGGAAUAACCCUUUAACCGUACAUUUGACAGAUACGCGCACAUUGACUUUUUCGUAGAUCUUAUUGAGAUACACGUGAUAGUCAAAUUUUGUGUCAAUAUGACAAAGCGUACAGGUGUCACACUCAACAAUGUGAAUUUUCACCUUACGGGACAAGAAAAAAUUGACUUUUUUCUCCUGCCAUGGGGGGGCGCUCUUUUGGGGAGUAAAAAUUCCUUCACAAAUGUGUUGAUGGCUGGACAUUGCAUCAUCCUAGAAAACUUGGAGGCCAGUGAGGGCAAAAAUAAAAAGUUAUAAGACUUUGAAAUAUGUGGAUUUUAGGGUUAUCUUUGGCGCCCCCUAGAACCUAAACCGUGGGGUGCAGCAUAAUGAUUUGAAUAACUUUUAAUGGCCAUGGGGUGUAGAUUGGCCUGAGCAAAUGUGGUGCCGGUGGAACAAAAGCCUUCGGAGGAGUUAGCGAAAUUCCAAUGUGUGCGGAUCGGCAAAAAAUGCGCAAUAACCCUUUAACCGUACAUUUGACAGAUACGCCCGCACUGACUUUUUUGUAGAUCUUAUUGAGAUACAUGUGUGUGUCAAUUUUUGUGUCAUUUUGACAAAGCGUACAGGCGUCAGGUGAAUUUUUCACCUUAGGGGGCGCUAUGGAGCCAUUUUGCAUUGUAUUGUUUGGGCGACUUCAGAAUAUCAAAUUUUUGACCAGGCCCGGUCGUCCUGCCAAAUUUCAUGAGUUUUCGCCAGUGGGAAGUGGGCCAUUUUCCAGUUCAAAGGGGAGGAAAAAGAAACUAGGGCCCCGUUGGGGCACUGGCGGGCCCGAGCCGUGUCGCGCCGCCCCCAGUGCGACUGCCUACCCCUCCCGAUUGCGUCACACUCAAGGUCCAAAGAUGGUGUGCGCACUUGUCUGUGGUCAUUUACCAUUAUAAUGAAUGGGAGGCGCAGUUUCUACCAAAACGCUCGCUGCAGACAAACUCCAUGUCCUUUUUGAAAAAAGUCUGGACCAUGAGUGAGGGCACAAACACAGCUAGUAUAUAUCCAAAUGGCAAGUUGCUCCUCCUUUCGGUUUUGCCGAGAGAGCGAUGCGUUUGAGCCAUUGAGCGAUGGGCAGGAAAAACUUGACUUUUUCUCCUGCCAUGGGGGGGCGCUCUUUUGGGGAGUAAAAAUUCCUUCACAAAUGUGUUGAUGGCUGGACAUUGCAUCAUCCUAGAAAACUUGGAGGCCAGUGAGCACAAAAAUAAAAAGUUAUAAGACUUUUAAAAAUGUGGAUAUUUGGGUCCUCUUUGGCGCCCCCUAGAACGUAGACCGUGGGGUGCAGCGUCAUGAUUUUUACAACUUUGAAUGGCCAUGGGGUGUAGAUUGGCCUGAGCAAAUUUGGUGUCAGUGGGACGAAAGCCUUAGGAGGACUAAGCCACAUUCCAAUGUGUGCGAAUCUGCAAAAAAUGCGAAAAAGCCCUUUAACCGUACAUUUUACAGAUACGCGCGCAUUGACUUUUUCGUAGAUCUUAUUGAGAUGCACGUGAUUGUCAAAUUUUGUGUCAAUAUGACAAAGCAUACAGGCGUGACAUUCAACAAUGUGUAUUUUCGCCUUGGGGGACAAGAAAAAAUGGACUUUUUUCUCCUGCCAUGGGGGGGCGCUCUUUUGGGGAGUAAAAAUUCCUUCACAAAUGUGUUGAUGGCUGGACAUUGCAUCAUCCUAGAGAACUUGGAGGCCAGUGAGGACAAAAAUAAAAAGUUAUAAGACUUUUAAAUAUUUGGAUUUUAGGGUUAUCUUUGGCGCCCCCUAGAACCUAAACCGUGGGGUGCAGCGUCAUGAUUUGUACAACUUUUAAUGGCCAUGGGGUGUAGAUUGGCCUGAGCAAAUUUG